AGGGAGAGAGAGGAGGAGGAGGUACAGAGAGAGAGAAAGAGGAGCAGAGACAGAGAAGACAGAGAGAGAAAAAACUUUAAUUUAUAGAAGAGGUUUGCUCAAAUGAUGAUCGCAGAGCGCACAUGGAUUCGGUAGAACUUUCGCUCCCUGAGUGUUUUUCCCUGCACUCCGAACAACAAAUGAAUUUAUCAAAGGCCCAAGUUAAUAGCGAAGAUAAGUACGCCAAAUGCGGCGCUUGGAGAACACAACAGCAAUACGACAUCGAGGCCAGUCACAUGCGUGAUGCACAUGCUCUAUAUAACCAAAGGUAAGGAAAGGACCAAAAAUAGUGUCAUCAAAAGCCAAAAUCUGUUCUGAUGAUUAUUAUUUUUUUGUUUGUUUGUAUGUUUGUUUGUGUUAUGCCUGCCCAGCUAUUAUUUAUCCAUGCUUGCUUCAUUCAAGUCAGUGUCUUAGUCUAGUUCAUCCAGUGUUUGUGCGUGUUGUCAAAUAGCAGGACAUAAUUUCUGCAUGUUGUACCCAUUGUCUGCUGUCAACCUGGUCCUAGGCUGUUCCUAUUAAUGUGCAAGAGGCUAAUACAAAGUAACCAGAUCAUUUUUAUGUGUUUUAUAUCUCAAUGUUUGUGUGUUGGUGGAGGGACAUGUCUACAUCUGUUUACAUCUGCCUCAAGCUAUGUUGAUGGAUGGAUGGAUGGAUGGAUGGAUGGAUGGAUGGAUGGACUAUAGAUGUGGAUAAGGGAAAGUUUAUGUUGAGUUUAUUGGUAUAGGUUGGAGAGGUUGCAAGUUGUCGCCCCCUCCAGAUGCAGAGGAAUGUGUUAAAUGCUUCAAGGAUUCCGAUUAGCAUAUAAAUUUAGAUGUAUGAAGAUCAUUGCUCUGAUCACGCGUCAGGGAGUUUUAUCCAGGUAUAGUGGCAGCUCAUUUUCGUAUAUAAUACAGCCAGAGGUGACCAGCUAAGAGUGCUCACCAGGCCCUUCUAUCUCUCUCUCACUCUCUCUCUCAGGCCAUCUUCUGUAAAAUGUCUUUGUUUGACUUGUAAUUUCAAUGUCAUUUAUGGUUAUUACUUUAGAGGUUACUGAAGGGUCAGAGAGAAAAGUGCCUUCACUUGUUUGAUUUAUUUUUAAAUGUUAAAUUUUAUUCUGUUGGGUAUUUUAAUUUUCAGUAACAUUUGUAUUCAUUCAUUCAUUUUUUUAAAUUAUAUAUAUAUAUUUCAAGAAACUGCAAAUAUGGAAUGUUUGUUAACACUGUAAACAAGUGAAUUAUCUUUAAUGUGUUUAAAGGUACUUCUGAGGAGUUUUUUUUUUUUAAGUGCAAUGAC
ensembl:lncRNA